ACGGAAGGCAGCAGUGGGGAAUAUUGCACAAUGGGCGCAAGCCUGAUGCAGCGACGCCGCGUGAGUGAAGAAGUAUUUCGGUAUGUAAAGCUCUAUCAGCAGGGAAGAAAAUGACGGUACCUGACUAAGAAGCUCCGGCUAAAUACGUGCCAGCAGCCGCGGUAAUACGUAUGGAGCAAGCGUUAUCCGGAUUUACUGGGUGUAAAGGGAGCGUAGACGGGACAGCAAGUCUGAUGUGAAAUGCGGGGGCUCAACCCCUGAACUGCAUUGGAAACUGUUGACCUUGAGUGCCGGGGAGGUAAGCGGAAUUCCUAGUGUAGCGGUGAAAUGCGUAGAUAUUAGGAGGAACACCAGUGGCGAAGGCGGCUUACUGGACGGUAACUGACGUUGAGGCUCGAAAGCGUGGGGAGCAAACAGGAUUAGAUACCCUGGUA
rnacentral:rRNA from 1 species